AACCCUGUACUCAUCAGUAUUUUGGGGGUGGGGGAAUAAAUCUUCUCUUUGGGCAAAGAAGUGGCCGCUCAUUUGCUUGCCAGGUGAUGGCUGGCAGCACCUCUGCUCAUUUGAAGCAUGUCCUUAUAUAUAGACAGUGCCCAAAAUGUCACCUCUGGGGUAAGGCACAGCCCAAAAUGUGUGAUGGUAUCAGGCUCUGUCUUCCCCAUAUUGCACAUGAAACAAAAAUGGAUGCCAAAAUGGUGAUGUUUGCAUGGACCCUGGAACUCCCACAGUCACACUGGCCUUUUCCCUACAUCACUUAUUUAGGAUAAAGAAAACUCAGAGCCACGUUUCUGUGAGAACAGCCUUUGCUGGAGGCAGCUGCUCAGGUGCAUCUCCCAGUGAUGCCUCUGAACAGCAGAGGCUGAUGGUGACUUUCUAAAGGGACAUGAAUGUUUGAAGGUUUCUCAUUCCUGUCACAAACCUCCUGUGUUCUCCUGGGAGGCUCCUUCCUUUCCUUCGCCUUUUCUUCACUGCUGCUGAACUGCACUUCCAGGUGUUGCCAAAGGACCAGGACACAGCUGUGGUCACAAAGGAGGAGAAAACACCCUGGCCAGCACACCAGAGCUGAGGCAGGAAGAUCAUCCUCAUCUGACAAAGCUCAAGGAGUUCAUGGUGGCUGAGGAAGCACAUGCCAGAGUCACCUCCAGACUGAUGGCUGUGACAGUGACCAGCGAGGGACUCACUGCCAGUCCUGCAGAUAUUAGAUGUGAUGAAAGAAGGUGACAUCUCCAAGGAAAUCUUGCUUGAGGUGUGGGGAUGGGAUUUUAAUGGACUGGGGAAGACAGAAAGUCUACAAGUGUAAUGAUCCUGUAAUGU